CACCUCGGAGCCGGAUGUUUGCCGAGCCUUGACAGGCGUGGCAGAGGGAGCAGUGCCCGAGCGCGGUUUCUCUUAAGGUUCUGCAGGGCAAGGCUGUCUGGGACAGGCUUGGCCAUGGAUCCGCUCUCAGAGCUGCAGGAUGAUCUGACCUUGGAUGACACCAGCGAGGCUCUGAACCAGCUGAAGCUGGCCUCCAUCGAUGAGAAGAACUGGCCCUCGGAUGAAAUGCCUGACUUCCCCAAGUCAGAUGACUCCAAAAGCAGCUCCCCGGAACUUGUCACACACCUGAAGUGGGAUGACCCAUACUAUGACAUCGCCCGGCACCAGAUCGUGGAGGUGGCAGGUAAGCACACCCAACACUAUUUUCCUAACCCUCAGAGCUCCUGGCCUCAGGAAGUCAGCCCUUCACACCACAGGGGAAGGGCCUCUCUGCAGUCUGACUGCUGGCCCUGGCGCUCCUGGCAUGUGGGGAGCCAUGUGGCCUAGUGGCUUUGAAGUCAGAAAGCCCUGGGUUUGAUCUCCAGCUCUGCUCUUUGAACUCUAAUUUCUUCCUUGUGGGUUACAAUAAUGAAUGCAUGUCAGGGCCUAUCCCAGAGCCAGAACACAGUUGGCCUUGAAUAAGUAGCCUUCCCUUCCCCUCGUUCUAUUGCCCUCCUACCCCUCCACCCUAAUGUUGGCUUUUCCACCCUAUCAGUUACUGGGGAGGAUGAGGAGUGCCAGUCCUUCCUGGGAAAUCGUAGCCCUAGGGAAGUGUGGAAUGGGCAGAGCCUCUUUCCAGAAAUGGGGAGGGGGCACAUGGCUCCCUGGAGCAUCAGAUUCCUGGCAGAUAUGCUGCCCUGCUGAGAGUGGGUACAGAGCCCCGCUUAGGUCUCUGUCUCAGGGAGCUCCCUCCCUCCUGUUCACAAGGGGGGACCCGGAAG
rnacentral:sRNA from 1 species